AUUGAACGCUGGCGGCAUGCCUUACACAUGCAAGUCGAACGGUAACAGGUCUUCGGAUGCUGACGAGUGGCGAACGGGUGAGUAAUACAUCGGAACGUGCCUAGUAGUGGGGGAUAACUACUCGAAAGAGUGGCUAAUACCGCAUGAGAUCUACGGAUGAAAGCAGGGGAUCGCAAGACCUUGCGCUACUAGAGCGGCCGAUGGCAGAUUAGGUAGUUGGUGGGAUAAAAGCUUACCAAGCCGACGAUCUGUAGCUGGUCUGAGAGGACGAUCAGCCACACUGGGACUGAGACACGGCCCAGACUCCUACGGGAGGCAGCAGUGGGGAAUUUUGGACAAUGGGCGCAAGCCUGAUCCAGCAAUGCCGCGUGCAGGAUGAAGGCCUUCGGGUUGUAAACUGCUUUUGUACGGAACGAAAAGCCCUGGGUUAAUACCCUGGGGUCAUGACGGUACCGUAGAAUAAGCACCGGCUAACUUCGUGCCAGCCGCCGCGGUAA
rnacentral:rRNA from 1 species